UGAAGUGCGAGGGUCGAAACUCUCUGUCGGGAAAGAACGUUGAUCGCCUUUGUAAUGGAAUAACAUUCGCCUAGAUCGAGGGACAACGUAUUUAGCGCCACCGUUAAAAUUGCUGAUGAGUGCGAGCAGGAGAUGCGUCUGGUAUAUUUUUCCUGUGUUCGGCGCGUCAAAGGAGUCGUUAGACGAUGACUAUUCAUGUCUCUUACGUACGAGAAAACGCAGAGAAGCGUACCGCCCGGAGGAUACUUGAUGUAAUUAAUCGUAUGCAUUGUCACGCGUCUGUGAUAUACGGAUGGCCCGCGGCGAUCAUACACCAUGCACUUACAUCAACGGAAGGUGCUAAAUAUAUGCUUCUUAAGAAAUAAAAAGGGACGCAGCAUAUUUUUCGAGUCACAUAGAGAACAAGGGAAAGAACGAGUAAAACACAUAAAAAUAAUUACAGAUGUAUAUAUAAAUAAAAUGUAAUAUACGCUGUUCCAUUUCA